rnacentral:misc_RNA from 1 species
UGAGGUUAAGGGUCCAUUAGGCCACAUCGAGUACACCGGGCGCGGCAACUUUAUGAUUCAUGGGAAACCCCGGUUCGCUAGGCGGCUUGCCAUGCUGGCAGGUGGGACCGGAAUAACCCCAAUAUAUCAAGUGGUGCAGGCGAUUUUGAAGGAUCCGGAAGACGAGACGGAGAUGUAUGUGGUAUAUGCGAAUCGGACGGAGGAUGAUAUUUUGCUGAGGGAAGAAUUGGACACGUGGGCGAAGAAGAACGAGAGGUUGAAAGUAUGGUACGUGGUGCAGGAGAGUAUUAGAGAAGGAUGGGAAUAUAGCAUUGGGUUUAUUACGGAGGAUAUUAUGAGAGAGCAUCUUCCGGCAGCGGCGGAGGAUACUUUGGCUUUGGUUUGUGGGCCGCCGCCAAUGAUUCAGUUUGCAGUGCAGCCCAAUUUGGAGAAGAUGAAUUACAACACCAAGAAUUCCAUGUUGGUGUUUUGAUUAGACAGAG